AGAGUUUGAUCAUGGCUCAGGAUGAACGCUGGCGGCGUGCUUAACACAUGCAAGUCGAGCGAAGCAGUUAAGUUGAUUUCUUCGGAUUGAUUCUUAAUUGACUGAGCGGCGGACGGGUGAGUAACGCGUGGGUGACCUGCCCCAUACCGGGGGAUAACAGCUGGAAACGGCUGCUAAUACCGCAUAAGCGCACAGAGCUGCAUGGCUCAGUGUGAAAAACUCCGGUGGUAUGGGAUGGGCCCGCGUCUGAUUAGGCAGUUGGCGGGGUAACGGCCCACCAAACCGACGAUCAGUAGCCGGCCUGAGAGGGCGACCGGCCACAUUGGGACUGAGACACGGCCCAAACUCCUACGGGACGCAGCAG
rnacentral:rRNA from 1 species